rnacentral:rRNA from 1 species
CUAUUAUGGAGAGUUUGAUCCUGGCUCAGGACGAACGCUGGCGGCAUGCCUAAUACAUGCAAGUCGAGCGAAUGACGAAGAAGCUUGCUUCUUCUGA